rnacentral:sRNA from 1 species
AUCAUCUCAGAAUUUUCAUCAUCGUUA